UACCAAAUGCUUAUUGUGUGUUGUCUUUGCAGUGGACAACUUUGAUGGUGGAAUCAGCUUCUCGUUCUCGCUGCCUUUCCGUACCAUUUCCUGUUCCGGACUACUCCUCUACUCCCACAUCGCUCUCGAACUACUCAAUGGAACAGUGCAGUUUGUGUUUGACAAUGGUCCCAUGGAGGCGGUGGUGGAGUACACGCCCCUAGCCCUGCCCACCUGUGUGAUAACGAGUGGCAUACCCUCUGUGCUGAGAAGGAUGGUGUGAGAGGUGUGCUAAUCGUGGACGAGGGGGACCCUGUCAGUGUCUCCGCCUGCUCCCCCCACCCCAGCUUCAGGGCCGUUAACAUCAACGACCCCCUCUAUGUUGGGGGUAUGGCUGCUACUGUUCGUAGACGUUUCACAUCUCAAGCUCCCUCGUUCCAAGGUUGUAUUGCAAACCUCUACCUGAGUCAAGGGGAGGAGGUCCCAG